rnacentral:rRNA from 1 species
UACGUAGGUGGCAAGCGUUGUCCGGAUUUACUGGGCGUAAAGAGCGCGCAGGCGGUCGUUCAAGUCGCGUGUGAAAGCCCCCGGCUCAACUGGGGAGGGUCACGCGAUACUGAUCGACUCGAAGGCAGGAGAGGGUAGUGGAAUUCCCGGUGUAGUGGUGAAAUGCGUAGAUAUCGGGAGGAACACCGGUGGCGAAGGCGGCGACCUGGGUAGAUACUGACGCUGAGGCGCGAAAGCGUGGGGAGCAAACAGG